ACGCUCGACACCUAGAGGCAGCAGUGGGGAAUAUUGCACAAUGGGGGAAACCCUGAUGCAGCAACGCCGCGUGAAGGAAGACGGUUUUCGGAUUGUAAACUUCUGUUCUUAGUGAAGAUAGUGACGGUAGCUAAGGAGCAAGCCACGGCUAACUACGUGUCAGCAGCCGCGGUAAUCUGAGCGGGCUGGCAAGGC
rnacentral:rRNA from 1 species